GUGAAUCAUCGAAUCUUUGAACGCAAAUUGCACUCUCUUCGGAGAGUAUGCCUGUUUGAGGGUCAGCCUAAAAAAAUCGACAUCGUUGCUGUUUCCCAGUGGCGUUCGUCGGAAAUUGGGUUAUCUUAAAUCUUUGGUUUAAUCGACUUAAAAUUUUCUUUACGAUUCCAUGAACGUUUCUACGAUUUUACUUCUUACUCGUUUUAGGU
rnacentral:misc_RNA from 1 species